GUAUUAAUAAAGAAAUUUAGCGGAUUUGGCGGCAAGAUAGCCCAUUUAGAGGAACCUGCCCUGUAAACGAUGAGCCACGAAAGGCCCUACUUUAUUUUGUAAUCAGUUUGUAUACCGCUGUUGUCAGUCAGUUUUAAUAGAAAACUUUCCAUAAUGAUAAUAAUCAUUGACUUCAAGUAAAGGUGCAGCUUAUAAUAAAGUUAGAGGUGGGUUACAAUUUAAAGAAAAAAAAACGAACAAUAAUAUUAAAAAUUAUUUGAAGGUGGAUUUAAUUGUAAAGUUUUAGCAAACUUGACGAGAGCACUAACUUGUG
rnacentral:rRNA from 1 species